AGAGUUUGAUCCUGGCUCAGAACGAACGUUAGCGGCGCGCCUAACACAUGCAAGUCGCACGAGAAAGGGCUUCGGCCCCGGUAAAGUGGCGCACGGGUGAGUAACACGUAGGCAAUCUGCCCUUGAGUGGUGGAUAACCCUCCGAAAGGAGGGCUAAUACAGCAUGAGACCACGGUUUCUACGGAAGCAGCGGUCAAAGUAGGCCUCUCCACGGAAGCUUACGCUUGAGGAUGAGCCUGCGGCCCAUCAGCUAGUUGGUAGGGUAACGGCCUACCAAGGCAAAGACGGGUAGCUGGUCUGAGAGGAUGAACAGCCACACUGGAACUGAGACACGGUCCAGACUCCUACGGGAGGCAGCAGUGGGGAAUCUUGCACAAUGGGCGAAAGCCUGAUGCAGCGACGCCGCGUGAGCGAUGAAGGCCUUCGGGUUGUAAAGCUCUGUGGGGAGGGACGAAUAUGGGCUGGCUAAUAUCCAGUCUGAUGACGGUACCUCCUUAGCAAGCACCGGCUAACUCUGUGCCAGCAGCCGCGGUAAGACAGAGGGUGCAAACGUUGUUCGGAAUUACUGGGCGUAAAGCGCGUGUAGGCGGCUAUAUAAGUCGGACGUGAAAUCCCACGGCUCAACCGUGGAAGAGCGCUCGAAACUGUGUAGCUUGAGUCCUGGAGAGGAAAGCGAAAUACUUGGUGUAGAGGUGAAAUUCGUAGAUAUCAGGUAGAACACCAGUGGCGAAAGGCGGCUUUCUGGACAGUGACUGACGCUGAGACGCGAAAGCGUGGGGAGCAAACAGGAUUAGAUACCC
rnacentral:rRNA from 1 species